rnacentral:lncRNA from 1 species
AUGCUUUGUAUGUUCCAUUUUGGGGUGCACAGAAGAAAUUCCAAGUAUCUUAUGUUUCUGAAAGUGGAAAUCUCUCUGCUUCCUGCCUUCCAUCUUAUGGUGUCAGUUUGGGUGUGUUACAGAAGCUUAGCAAAGCAUUUAUGUAAGGCCCUCUUAGUGAGGGAUGCUCUCUGGAGUUUCAAAUAUUUUGUAAUUAAUUUUGUUCUUUUAUUCUGUCUUUUUCAGGAAAUAGGGAAUGCUUCCUCUUGUGAUUUGGGGUGCCCAUCAGAAAUAGUGGCACUGUUGACCUUAAAUCUCCCUUUUUUAGAAUCUGGAUACUUUUUUUAUCACAAUGGUCUUGCUAAAGCCAGGAGAAGACGCAGCCUUCAACACAAGCUUCAUCUGGAAAAGGACACCAGGACUUUUUGCACCAGCUUAAUACUGGGCUGAAGUUGGACCAGGUAGCACAAAAAAUGUAUUUACUGCCCAAAGAAGGUAGGUUGGCCUGAGGAAUGGUAUCAUGACAGCAAAUAGGUUAUUUUUUAAUCCUUCAGUAAGAUUUCAAUUCACUGCACUGUAAAGAGAGGGAAGCAAUUUUAUUCCAGACAGAAUGCGAUUGCUGGAUUUGUGUUAUUGGAACACCCAUGACAGUGAAACACUUGAGUAGGAAGAAGAGGAAAAUAGGUUAAAUAAGAUCAUAAUUGCUGUUGUGACACCAGAGCAAACAAGGACUGAUGAAUUCCCAGCUUAAUUUUCCUGCUUCUGCAGAAAUUUCAAGUGAUUCCAGGCCCAGGUUGAGCUAGGAUGCCUGUGGCUGGUCACUUCUGCAGUUGAGAGCCUUGUGAGGGAACCACACAGGUUCCAGGUGCUGCCUGCCCCAUUACUCUGUCCUAAGAUGCUGAUAGCUCUAGGGCACCUCUUUCUGGUCCCCUUCUCUAAAGGGAAACCAGAUACAGGUGAAGGGUUACAAGGCAGAGAUAUCCAACCUGCCUUGAACAGAAAUUCAGAGGCUUCUGCUGUUUUGUUUACUAAGCAGGGAUCAGAGAGUAAAUUUCUGGGGAAAAUCUAAAAUUAGUAGGUACUAAACCAAAUGUCCUGAGAUGUUUUUUCUGUCUGUGAACCACCCAAUCUUGUAAAGUCAUUUAUGAGAAAAUGCAUGAGAAAAUUUAAAAGAAAAAGCACACAAUUAAGUCAGAAUGUUGGAAAGUAGUGGCUGGGUACAGUCAUUCCAUAUGAUCUUUGAAAAUAAAUAUUUCUAUAAGUCUCUGAAAAUUUUACA